GAUGAACGCUGGCGGCGUGCUUAACACAUGCAAGUCGAACGGAAAGGCCCAAGCUUGCUUGGGUACUCGAGUGGCGAACGGGUGAGUAACACGUGGGUGAUCUGCCCUGCACUUCGGGAUAAGCCUGGGAAACUGGGUCUAUACCGGAUAGGACCACAUUUUGGAUGGUGUGGUGGAAAGUUUUUCGGUGUGGGAUGAGCUCGCGGCCUAUCAGCUUGUUGGUGGGGUAAUGGCCUACCAAGGCGUCGACGGGUAGCCGGCCUGAGAGGGUGUACGGCCACAUUGGGACUGAGAGACGGCCCAGACUCCUACGGGAGGAAGCAGUGGGGAAUAUUGCACAAUGGGCGCAGGCCUGAUGCAGCGACGCCGCGUGGGGGAUGACGGCCUUCGGGUUGUAAACUCCUUUCGCUAGGGACGAAGCGUUAUGUGACGGUACCUGGAGAAGAAGCACCGGCUAACUACGUG
rnacentral:rRNA from 1 species